rnacentral:rRNA from 1 species
GAUGAACGCUGGCGGCGUGCCUAAUACAUGCAAGUCGAGCGAACGGACGAGAAGCUUGCUUCCCUGAUGUUAGCGGCGGACGGGUGAGUAACACGUGGAUAACCUACCUAUAAGACUGGGAUAACUUCGGGAAACCGGAGCUAAUACCGGAUAAUAUUUUGAACCGCAUGGUUCAAAAGUGAAAGACGGUCUUGCUGUCACUUAUAGAUGGAUCCGCGCUGCAUUAGCUAGUUGGUAAGGUAACGGCUUACCAAGGCAACGAUGCGUAGCCGACCUGAGAGGGUGAUCGGCCACACUGGAACUGAGACACGGUCCAGACUCCUACGGGAGGCAGCAGUAGGGAAUAUUCCGCAAUGGGCGAAAGCCUGACGGAGCAACGCCGCGUGAGUGAUGAAGGUCUUCGGAUCGUAAAACUCUGUUAUUAGGGAAGAACAUAUGUGUAAGUAACUGUGCACAUCUUGACGGUACCUAAUCAGAAAGCCACGGCUAACUACGUG